AUUGAACGCUGGCGGCAUGCCUUACACAUGCAAGUCGAACGGUAACGGGCCUUCGGGUGCCGACGAGUGGCGAACGGGUGAGUAAAGUAUCGGAACGUACCUUUCAGUGGGGGAUAACGUAGCGAAAGUUACGCUAAUACCGCAUAUUCUGUGAGCAGGAAAGCAGGGGAUCGCAAGACCUUGCGCUGAUUGAGCGGCCGAUAUCAGAUUAGCUAGUUGGUGAGGUAAAGGCUCACCAAGGCGACGAUCUGUAGCGGGUCUGAGAGGAUGAUCCGCCACACUGGAACUGAGACACGGUCCAGACUCCUACGGGAGGCAGCAGUGGGGAAUUUUGGACAAUGGGGGCAACCCUGAUCCAGCCAUGCCGCGUGAGUGAAGAAGGCCUUCGGGUUGUAAAGCUCUUUCGGCCGGGAAGAAAUCGUAUCAGCUAAUACCUGGUGCGGAUGACGGUACCGGCAUAAGAAGCACCGGCUAACUACGUGCCAGCCGCCGCCGCAGUAA
rnacentral:rRNA from 1 species